UACGAAGGGGGCUAGCGUUGUUCGGAAUCACUGGGCGUAAAGGGCGCGUAGGCGGCUUUAUAAGUCGGGGGUGAAAGCCUGUGGCUCAACCACAGAAUUGCCUUCGAUACUGAGAAGCUUGAGUCCGGGAGAGGUGAGUGGAACUGCGAGUGUAGAGGUGAAAUUCGUAGAUAUUCGCAAGAACACCAGUGGCGAAGGCGGCUCACUGGCCCGGUACUGACGCUGAGGAGCGAAAGCGUGGGGAGCGAACAGG
rnacentral:rRNA from 1 species